AGUGCGUAUCGUCAGGAGGAGGAGAAAGUGUACAGUAGAGUGACACACAGCGUUCGAUUUGAUUUUAGCUGACGGUGCUGGGUCGAAGGACCUGAGCCGUAGGACCAUGCCUCAGGACUACCUGGCGUGAUGACUCCUUGCUGUCCCCAGUCCACCUGGCCGUGCUGCUGCUCCAGUUUCAACUGUUCUGCCUGCGGCUAUGGAAUCCUGACCUGUUCACCAGACGUGCUACCUGUCCCAGACCUAUUAUUUGACCAUGCUGGUCAUUUAUGAACAUUUGAACAUCUUGGCCAUGUUCUGUUAUAAUCUCCACCCAGCACAGACAGAAUAGGACUGGCCACCCCUCAUAGCCUGGUUCCGCUCUAGGUUUCUUCCUAGGUUUUGGCCUUUCUAGAGUUUUUCCUAGCCAACGUGCUUCAUCACCUGCAUUGCUUUCUGUUUGGGGUUUAAGGCUGGAUUUCUGUACAGCACUUUGAGAUAUCAGCUGAUGUACGAAGGGCUAUAUAAAUACAUUUGAUUUGAUUUAUGGAAGCUUUGAAACUCUACCUCCUCUAAACCCCUCUCUGGUGCCCCUCUUCACGAAGCUGGUUUUGAUUUAUAGAAGCAGGGCAUUUCUGUCCACAAACCUCUCCUAUAACCCUACCAUACACUUUUGCUGCCUUACUAUGCCACAGUCAAGUCCCAUUAGCAGUGGGGCUAGUGUGUCUGUAGAGCCCCAGGCCCACCAGUAAAUGACUUCUAAAUGAAGACCAAAUGUUGGUUUAGGGGGGAGGAGAGGGACGGCACUGAAAGAGUGGGACUUGGUAGUUCAUUUGGGGAAAUAAGCUGGGUGUAAGGGUUAGGGGACGUGGGGAGACCCAGGGGGUGAUUCUAUAGAUUUGGGGAUAUCGUGGGAGUGCGUGGUGAGGAAUUAUAGCUCCUAAGUGUUGACACACUGAGAGGCAGGUCAUGGGGAGAGACAAAUGUGCCUCUUGUUCAACAUAUGUGCUAAUUAUAUGAGAAGCUGUGUGUGUUGCUAUAAAUGUCUAUCCAUAGUGUAUUCUACAUCAAUGUAUUCUACACAUUUAUUCAAAACACAUGAUAUUUUAUCUAAAUGUAUGUUUCCCCUGUAAAACUUUAGCUGGGGGUAGUUCCCUGAAAACAUUUACAGUAAGAUGGGAAACUUCAUUGCAUGCAGUCUGCAAUGAAGUGUAGAAAUUCAAUGUGGUCUCAUGGGUCCACUUUUAUUGAAUCGAAAGUUGCCUGCUAUAUUAAAGAAAAAAGGAAGGAUCUUGAAACCAUUACCGCACCACAACAAUAUACUGUAUGUAUAUGGCCAUCCUAAUUUGACAGUACACAAAGAACUUCUGUGAAGAUAUUUUCACUGGAAUAACUGCGGAAAAACAACUAUUAUAUAUAAUUAUUGAUUCAUAUCCAGGAAUUCCACAAAAAGGAACAAUUGCAUGUUAAAAAGUAUAAUGCCUAAGACAGUCAGUAAUGACAAAGAGUUUAAAUUGGAAGAGAUGAUCAGUAACGCUCGCUUCGUCAAAGUCACACCACAACUCAGUGCUAAUAUCUUCAUGCCAGAGGGGAUGUAUCUCUCAGAGGGGCUCCAUCUCUGCAUGAAGUGUAAACUGUGAUGACUUCUCUGCUCAGCUUGGGACUGGGGAUGUAACUGUUACAGGGGACUGAGCCAGACACCAGACGCUCUGCCUACAGGUUUAUCAACCCUGACUAUCCAGCUCAGUAUUUUAUUUGAUAUUAUUCAGCAAUACAAUACUGCUUCCAGGGAAACACAACUUAAAUAAGCUAUCUUGCACAUUAUGGUAACGAUAGAUCUAAUUACUGACUUUACAUAGACUUAAAUGCAAACUAGUCAAUGGACCAUUAUAUACCAGGCAAGUUCAUCAAGUUCUUUGAUAAGCAACCAAGCUGACAGGUUCCCAAAUUUAGUAGCCCUGCUUUUGGUCUAAAGUUCUAAGGAGAUGUACAAGAAACCACAAAUAUACUUGUAAACUUCUACUUCAGUUACCCGAAAUCUGAAUGUAUGAGCAAUGUCACUCUGUCUCACAGUUCCCUGACAGCUUAAUCAGAUUCAACUCCCCCCCCACCCCCCAAAAAAAUCCCCCCGUCCGGUAGCCUUUCUGCUGCUCAAUCACACCCAGGGCCAUUUCCAAUGCAUACACAAUAAGCUGCUUUUGUGCUUGUGUCAGACUGGGAGCGAUAAAGAGAGCAAUGCAUAGGGGUGACUAGCUGAGCUGAGGGAGAGGCUGCCUCAGAAAGAGUGCAUGAAUCCGAGAGUACCCUGAGAUAGAUAGGGAGACAUUAGAUGGUUGUGGGUUGCGACCGUCAAUUGGUCCACUGGUCAAGUCUUGCUGCUAAAAAAAAAAUCACACCCGGAAAGAAGUGACACCUAUCUGUCAUGACAUAUUUUCAAACCACGGUUGUCACCAAACCAGGGGCGGUCCAAUUUAAUGGCGAGUGGCUGGCGACGGGAUUCGGAGGGAACUCAAUGAGGUUGUCCUGACCUUGCAGAGGCUGUGUGUGGUUUUGUAUUUGCGUCACUGAGGGAACAUGACAGGAUUAGUGUCCUAGCGAAACGCAGGAGUCUGUCGGCAGAACGUAAACAGUCUUGUCUUACCCUCUGUUGGCUACUUAACCUGCAUGACAGCAGCAGCAGCAGCAUAGGAGAGGGAUGUGGUAACACAUUGAGCCAUGAGCCAUGAGCUGAAUGCACUGCAGAUUGAAGAUGAACUUUCUCAUUCAAAGGGAAUCAAAGCUUGAGCAAAAUAUCCAAACUUGUGAAUGAAACAACGGCCACUUCCUGGGUUCAGGUGUUGGAACAUGAAGUAAAUAAAACUAAAACUCAAGAAUAGGGUUAGUGCACAUUGCAACAAAACGUGACUUUAUUCUCAGGUGUCCACACACCACAUCUCCAAGGUCACAUGACAGGCAUCCUAAUUCUCAACUUCUGUACUCUGACACUAAGUUAGACUUUAGUUGAGAAUCCUGUUACAUGUAACUAAACAUUACAGUGACAAAAGUUAAUCUGGUCAGUCAUUCAUUCUGUAUGGUAGAAACCAUCAAGAGACUAUUUCACACACAACUCAUUACAUCCUUUAAAUGUCACAAUUAUCUAUAGUAUUUCCCUUUCGUGACCUGCUGGAAGCUUUCAGUACUCCUCCUGCCUGUUGUUUAUCAUUUCCUGGAGACUCAUCAUGACCACACUUUUAUAAAGCUAAGUGUUUUUGCCUUUAAAACCUUGUGACUGAUUUACAGUAAUUAUUCAACCCUGCUUCCGAAAUUGCUGUACCGAGAGUUUCUAUUUCAUUCUUGGAAAAAAUAAGGUGGACAUUUGUCAUAUUGCUCUGAAAAGAUACAUUCAUGUGGAUAUUGGUCUGAAAGGGCUAAGUCUGUCUACACCUGGUCUCCAAGGUUGUCCUACCUCUACUCUUCGUUCUCUUUCUCCUUUCUAUGCUCCCUCUCUUCAUAACACACACAAGAUGAAGUGGCAAGUUUCUAUCUGUCAGAAAUCUUUCCUAAAUAAGGGUCCUUGACUCUUUCAAUCGUGUCCUUCAGCCUUUGAAAUGGCUUUGAUUAUACUCACUAUAAUGCUCAAGAGACGGUAUGAUUGCAGGGCAGGUAAGAACCAUUAUCUUCACUCUUGAUAAUCUAAAGGAUGCAUGUGGUUGUGGGUGGAUAGUAUAUUUGUGUGAGUGUGUGUGAGUGUGAGCGUGAUUGCGUGCAAGUGCGCGUGGAUGUGUGUGUGAGAGAACUUUAACAUAGUUGUAGAAAGCCAACCCACCACCUUCCCUCUCCUACCACAUCUCCUUCAAUGACAUAGGUCAUUACUAACAUAGAGAGGGUGACAGGAACAAAGAGCAGGAUAGAGAGGGAGAGAAAGAUUAAGGGGAUGAGGAAGCAAGAGAGACAGCAGGAGAAAGAGAGAAGGGAGGAAGAACAGGCUGACAGGAGAAGAAAGGAAAGAUUGAAGAUGAGGAUGACAGAGUGGGAAGGACAGAAAAUGGAGGCAGACUUCAGGAGUGAUAAUGACUGAGAAAUAAAAAGAGAGGAAGGAAGAAACCAGGAAGAGAAACACGGGCAUUAGUAACAAAAUGGUGGUGACUUUUUAUCCACGCUCAACCAUUAACCUCAUCAGGUCCGAGGACCCCAGUAAAAUUCAGCGUUUUUUUCGCGACUUUAAUUUAUUUGCAUGUCCAGCACUUAUAUUUAGCAUCACAAUUAAGUGUUUUACAAUUGUCCUUUCAGAACAACCAGGGCUACAAGUAGAAAAGAAAACAAUUUGACAAAAACAGUUGUUUUACUAUUUUAUUUUCAGGACAACCAGAGUUACAAGUAAAAUAAAGUUUCCUUAAAUGAGUUUUAUUGACAAAUAGAACAUAUAUACAAAAUAAAGUCCUAUUUUAACGAGCAUUACUGUUAAUCUCUUCCAAUUUAAACUCUGUCAUUACUGACUGUCUCAGGCAUUCUACUUUUUAAUUGUAAUUGUGUGGAAUUCCUGGAUAUGAAUGUAUUAUUAUAUAUAAUAGUUGUUUAUCCGCACAGUUUCUCCAGUGAAAAUGAAUGCUGCAGGUACAGAAAUUGUUUCCUCAGUAGGAAAUGAACAUCCAACUAAUUAGUAACAACUGUGUGGAGUUUGUGACAGCAACUAUGUGAGCUUAUUACAUUAUUAUAGACACUAUGUCCUGGGAUUUCCUAUGAUGUUCUAAGAACUACUUACCUUCUAACUACUCGUGUGGUUGGUUUCUAAACAACUAACUUACUUACUGACUUUAUUGUCCCCAUGGGAAAUGUUGUUGCAGUGUGUCACGUUCUGACCUUAGUUCUUUUGUUAUGUCUUUGUUUUAGUAUGGUCAGGGCGUGAGUUGGGUGGGUUGUCUAUGUUCUUUUUUCUAUGAUUUGGGAUUGCUGUGUUCGGCCUGGUAUGGUUCUCAAUUAGAGGCAGCUGUCAAUAGUUGUCCCUGAUUGAGAACCAUACUCAGGUAGCCUGGUUUCACUUUUGAGUUGUGGGUGAUUAUUUCCUGUUUAGUGUUUUUGUUUUUCACCUUACGGGACUGUUCGUUUGUUAUUUAUUGUUUUGUUCAGUGUUCUAGUAUGUCAUUAAAAGCUAUGAACACUUA